rnacentral:lncRNA from 1 species
UUUUUUUUUUUUUGUUUUUAUACCAUAUUCGUUACGUUUGUACUCAUCUUUUGAAAAAUAAACUUAUUUUUUAUAAUGAAUUCAUCUUUUUAAAAGAUGGUUUCCUUUUUUUACUUUAAAUUUUUUUUAUAUUAAAAAUGUCUUUUUAGAGGGUGAGUUUAAUAUUCAUUAUUUUGGUUCUACUUAAUAUUUUAAAAUACGAUAAUUUUAUAAUUAUUUUUUAUGUUAUCAUUUAAAAAAAAAUACACUAAUCAGGUUAGAUUUAGGUUGAAUACCUCAUAUUAGAGUUCAAGUUAGGUUGUGAUUGGGUUGAUUAUUUCUUAAUUCGGGUUAAUCAUCGGUUUGACCAACCUGCAUAAGUUACAACCCUAGGAAAAAUAUAACUAAAACCAUAUUUGAAUCAAUUUCUAAGAAGUCAAAUAAAAAAAUAAAAAAAACACUUAAUUAAGAGUUUAUUUAAUUAAUUUUGUUGAAGGAAAUUAUAAUUUGAAAAAAUAAUUUAGGUGGUGUUUGUUUUUGGCUAAAUAAAAAAAGUCAAAAUAUUUGAUUUUUUCUUUUCGGUUAAAAGUAACUUAUUGACAUUAUCUAAUAUAACUAAAGUAAACUUGCUAUCAGUAGGUUCAGUUUAUUUAUGUUGAUGAUGUCAACAUGUUACUUUUAACUAAAUAAAAAAAAAUCAAAUAUUUUGACUUUUUCUAUUUAGCAAAAAAAAAAAAAAAACACCAUCAUAGUAAAAAAAUUAGAAAAAUAUUUUUUUUAAUAUAUUAAAACUCUAUUUUGAUUUAUGAAAAAAAAAUGUUUAAUAGAACUUAUAAUAUUAAUAUUAUCCUUUAAAAAUUAUGAUUUUAACUUAAGUGGUACUUACUAAAUUUCAAGUGCAGACUGUCGAAUGUAUUUGAUGAUAUAUAAAUUAUUUAACGAUGAUACAAAUAAAUAAAAUGAAGGUAUAAGAUUUUAAAUAAAUACAAUCGCAUACAAAUAAUGUCUCAUGAAGAUAUAUCAUUUUAUUAGUAACGUCUUUUCGAUGCCUAUUAAAAAAGUACACUUUAUAUCGUAGGUAGAUCUUAAAAUAAAAAAUGGCAGGAUUCUAAGUGAAAUAAUUUGUCAUAUAGUUUUAAAUAAGUUUUUUUUCUUUAUAUUUUUCUUCUUCAUAUUUUUCCUUAAAAUCUUUGGAACCAAACAUAACCUAGGGUUUUAUAAUAUUUUGAUAAUUAAUAUCUUAAUAAUAUAAUGCUUUAAAGUAAACCUCAUUCACUCAUUUUCCUACUAUAAUUCAUUAAAAGAACUUUGUUAACUUCUAGGAGACAAAAUCAAAAACCAAAUUUAAGAAGAAAUAAAUGUUAAAUUUAUACCAUCCCCUUUAAAAUUUAUUAUGAUUUUAAGGUUUUUUUUUAAUUAUUUUAUAACAUUUUUUUUUAAUUUAAUUAUCAUCUUUAAAUAUUAUCAUAAAUCAUGUUUAACAUAUCGUAUCAUUUAAUUUUUCAUUACUUUUUUUUAAUGUUUAACAAUUAAAUAUUAUAGAUAGUGAAAAAUGGCUAAUUUGGUUAAAUAUAUCACCCAAAAUGGGGUGACUCGAGUGUUAAAUUUUUUUGCAAAAACAAUAAAUUAAUAGUAAGAUGAGAAAACAAGAAGUUAGGCAAAUGAGAUUGAGAAAAUAAAUAUAUAAAAAAUUUUAUAGUGGUUCGACAAUUUGCUUAUGUCAUCUUUUUCAUGUUCUUAGCCAAAUGAAAGUUCCAUUAUCUAAAUUAAUAGUAAGAUAAGAAAAUGAGAAGUUAGACAACAAUAAAUUAAAAAGAUUGAGAAAAGAAAUAUGCAAAAUCUUUUAUAGUGGUUCAACAAUUCACCUACGUCCGCUUUUGUUAUGUUUCUAAUCGAGUGAAGUUCCACUGUUGAGACUUCAAAUCCAAAUCUUCAAGUUUUAUGAUUAGAUUUAUAAGUUUCAAUGAACACUCACGGUUCCUUCAAAAUCUCCACCUACUUAGAAGUUUUUUCUCUCACAAUUAUUAGAUAAGAAAGAUUUUAAUACUUGAAAUUUCAAAGAUAAAGUUUAACUCAUAAUAUAAAGGGAAAUUAUGAUGAAUUUGAAAGAUGUACUAUUGUUUUUAAAAUUAGAAAAUAGUAUUAAUUUUUAUACGAGAUAUAAGAAUUUUUAUAAAAUUACAUAAAAAUAAUAAUGAUUUAAAAAAAAUUGAUUAUUUCAAGAAUUUGAAGAUAAUUUAUAAAGUUAUAAGACAAAUUUAUAUUUGUAUACAAAAUAUUCUACUUUUGUGAUAUAUCACAUCGGAUAGAGGGAGAAAUUUUUUGACACUAUAUAAAUAGACGCAUUUUAAAAAUUGUGAGAAUUGUAUGGAGUUUAGAGUAAACAAUAUUUACAUGAUUGGAUGUAGAUCAUUACAAAAUAGUAUUAGAAUUGAUCUUUGAUCUAAUGUGAGAGUUUGUUUGACCUUGUAAGAGGUGUUUGUCUCUAAUCUUGUAAACGGCUCGGACUAAAUAAUAUCCGACAGACGGUUGGAUACAAGUUUCAUAAACUAUAUGUAGAUUGUAUAUUGGUGGCCAAGUUAGAUGUCCGCCAAGUUGGUUUUCCUGUUUGUCAAGUCGGUAUUCCGCCAAAGGUGGUUACAACAAUAGCUAAUCAAAAUCCUAAGUCAAAGGUUUUAUCAUUUUUUCUUUUAAGUCAAUAAGUCCUAUAUAUUUUAUACUUUAAUUGCCCAAGUCUUUUUAAAAUUUAAUCAUACUUCAAAAGAAUUUAUAUUUAAUUUCACGAGUCCAAAACUCUACGACAUUUUUUGUAAAAUUAUUAUUACCAAAUUCGAAUGAAAACACGGUCAAAUAAAUAUACUUUAUGUUUUUAAAAUAAAAAAAAUAAUAGUAGCUUUUAUAGAAAGUAUAAACAUUCUUGUAAUUUACAUUAAAAAAUAUUUAAAAUAUUUUCAUUUCAAAAAAUAAAAAAUGAAAAUAUAUUUAAAUAAAAACUUUUUUUAAUUACAAAUUAUUAAAAAUAAUAAGGUUUUUUAAUUUUUGUAAAACAAAAUUUUGGUUGAAAACUUAAAAUAUUUUUAUCAUGUUUAUAAUAUUUUAAAAAAUAAUUUUUAUAUCCAAUAUUUUUUACUUUUAAUCAUUCCUUAAAACAAUUUUUUAAAAACAAGAAAACAACUAAAAAAUAUUUUCUAAAAACGAUAUAUUUCUUAUUAUUAAGAAGCCGAAACAAAAAAUAAUUUUUAGUUGUCAAAUAUAUUUUCUAUAUUUUUCGUUUCAGAUAAUAAAAUUCUCAAAAACAAUUUCUAAACAUUUCGUAAUUUUUGUUACAUUUGAUAUCUAUUGGUUGCAUUUAAUCUCUAUAACCCCAAUAUUUUUCUUCAGUUGUGCUACUAAUGGCUGCCACGUGGGACAUCCCCCAAGUUGGUUUUCCAAUUUGCCAAGUCGGUAAUUGUGCGAAAGGUGAUUAUCACAAUACUUAAUCAGAAGUCAAAGCUUUUAUCAUUUUCAGUCUUAAGUCCUAUUUUUUAUGUCUUAAUUACCGAAAGUCCUUCUAAAUUCAAUCAUACUUCAGAAACAUUUAUAUUUAAUUUAAGAGUCCACAACUCCAUAUCAUUUCCAAGUUGUUAUCGACGGAUAGGUUUGACAUGACAUCUGCCAAUGAAUGAAUUGAAAUUUAAAAACCCCUUGGGCCUAUUCCACGUAUUGAGGAGCGUGGGCUUGAGAUGGAUCCAGUGGCACAAGGCCCAUACUACUCUUACCUUGGUGGCUGAAAUUUUAGGAAGCUUGUAGAAAGAAAAGAAAGAAAGUUUGUUGAAAGAAGAAUAGGAUUAGAAGCUUUAUUUGACAUCUAAAAGCUAAUGCAGUAGAUGAUAUAAAAGGUAAAAAAAAGAAAUACGAGUAUAAAAUAGAUAUUAAGAUUUGGAAAAUCUUAGGGUACUCUUCAGUAGUUACUGAAAAAGUUUUUCAAGCUAGGGAUAUCCAAGAUUAUAUUUUGACCAUCCAUUUUAAAUUUGAAAUAAAAAUUCCAUUUAAUCAGUUAAAGGAAGAACCGAAGAAGCAAUUGUGACAUUUUUUCUUCCUCAAUUCUUAACAAUUUUGAGUUUAAAUAAAAUAAAUAUUAGAUAAAAAUAGAAUUAGAAAAAAAUAAAAAUAAAAAUGAUAUAAAAUUUAAAAACAUAUUUAUUAACAAAAAAAACAUAAUCAUAUAUCAUAAUUAUAUUAUUUUAUUUUUAAAUAAUUAUUAAAUAUUUAAAUUCAACAAAAAAGUGAAUAUGGUAAUAUUUUAAUAAGAUAUUAAGUAGACAUGCAAAAAAGCAAUCGAAUCUCUAAGAAAGCUUUUAGAGAGAGAGAAGGGUAGAAUUAAAGGUAAUAAAAAAGUAUAUAUUAAAUUAGGGAACCAAUACUUAUAGGAAGCAAAGUGAAGAAAAUUCUGAUAUGUUUAAAGCAAAGCAUUGACAAUACUCAUUUGCGAUAAGGAUAAGGAUAGGAGCCCGCCGGGGGUGGGUGAGAGAGAUGCAGAAUGAUAAAGAGGCAGACAGUUCAAAGCUCCUCGUCUCCACCUCGCCCUCCUAUAUUUUCUUUAGCAGCUUCAAUUCUCUCCUUGGCUUUCUCCAGCGUCUCCCCUGCUUUGGCUUUGCCUGCAUCGAAACUCUCCUUCGCUUUCUCCUUAGCCCAGCUCACACUCUCCUCGGCCUUUGCUCCCUUCUCCUUGGCUGCUUCCUUGGCUUCUUCUGUCUUGUGAUACGCCUUCUCCUUUGCCUCCUCCGCCUUCUGAGCCGCCUUCUCUUUUACCUCCCUAGCCUUCUCCGCUACCUUCUCUUUUGCCUCUGCCGCCUUCUCUGUCACGCCACCCGCCUUCUCCUUUGCUUCGCCCACUUUCUGGGAGGCAGUUUCCUUGGCCUCUGCAGCCUUCUCCUUUGCUUCACACGCCUUCUGGGAAGCUGCUCCCUUGGUCUCUUCGGUCUUCUCUUUCAAUACCUUCUUCGCCUCAUCUGCCUUCUCUGCACUGUAUUGCCCAGCUCCUGCAUAACCACCAAUUAACUUAACUGCUAUUAUAAUCAAUCUUAUUGGAUACAAUGCAGGGCAUAAUCCAUUAGAAAGCAAGUCAAUGAAUUGUAUGAUAUACUAGUAUUACUAACCAGAAGCGGCUUCCUCAGCAGUGUCUUGGCUUUUGUCGGCAGUCUCUGUUGCGGAAUCAGAUGCUUGCUUUUCUUGCUUGAGUCUCAAGUUUUGUGAGAUUUUGUCUUUAGCCCACUCCGCCCACGACUCUGAGGCUUCUUUGGCCUCCUCCUCUGCCUCUGCCGCCUUCUCCUGAGCCUUCUCCACCUGGCCCUUGACCUCCUCUGUAACAUGGGAGCAACUGCAGCCCCUGGUAAGCACCACUACAACCAUCACCACCAGAACAAGGGCCAUCACCCGUCUGGAGGAGGACUCACAAGGUUUCCGUGAGCUGAAGGAAGCCAUGAAAAUCCAAUAAUAUGAGCUCCUCGGAUCAAAACUAAAUCAAAAGAGAAGGAUCCUUUCCUUCAAACUAUCACAGCAAACAAGAAGUAACCACGCAGUUCAGGAAUGAUGUUCCCAGCUGUUUGAAGCAAUGCACACAGACAUGUGUUUGUAAGUAUAUAUAUAGAGAGAGACAGAGAGAGAGUGGGAAGGUUCGGAAGAAAAUGGCAGGUGUCAGGCGACGUGGCGACUGUAGGAGGGUAGUGGAUACAUGAGCUGGCCAUGUGUCUUCUUAGGAUGUCCAAAGUGUCAACUUCGUAGUAAUGCCACGCAUGCUUUGGUGUUUGACUGAUGUGGCACGUGUCACGUCCACACUCAUGCACCAACCCAACCCAAUCUAUUGAAGUUAGUAAUUUACAUACCUAUAUUCUUAAUUAAUUCACCUUCACCAAAACUGCACUCUGCUCCGCCGCUCCUCUGAUGCAUCAUUUGAACACUUAAACUGAUUUUAUGAGCAUCAGGAGCAAAAGGACAAAUUUGUAUGUGUUGGGUACAAUUGGUGUCAGUCGGCCAUAGGCCAUAGUCUUUUUGAUAUCCACUGCCCUCGUUGAUGGUUGAAAGUUUGGGUAACAAGUAACAGCCAUAAUACAACAUUAGCAAAAAAAAAAAAGGCAAUAUAUUCAACAGAAAGUGGGUACCAAAUUUCAUGUAAAACUGUUACAUUGAAUUAAUAAUCAUAGUAAUAAGAAUAAAUUGCACUCAUUACAUUUGGGAGUUCUUUGCAGUUCAUGGACUUCAUAUUCAAGUACAUCAUAGUAAUAAGAAUAAAUUGUACACUGCCCAGCAGUAAGCCAGCAGGCAGCAGCUAGAAAAUUUAGGGGUUGCUGAAAGACAGACUGGUAAUAGCAGUCUUCAUUGGAUCCAGUUUCCGGGCUGUUGAUUGACUUUGAUGAUCAGAAACAAAAGACUGGACAAUGAAUUAAAGAAAUUGUGAGAAAUAAGAGGCAUACAUAAUUGUGUUUCCCAAGUAUGCUUAGUUCAUUAAUUACGGUUUUGUGGAAUUUAACUUUUAUAUAAUCAUCUUAGUCAAUAUUUCAGCUCUCAUGUAUACUCUCAAAUGUUAGAUCAGUUCAAAAGGUUUGUCAAAAUGGUUUCCACCCUAAACAGAUGCCUUGCAACUAUUUGAAACUUGUAGGUUGUAAAAAAUUCUCCCCUUCAACAAGCCUGAGAUAUUCAACAACCAGUCUUGCUUGCCGUAAAGCAGAGAACAGGGAAAAGAUACCACAGCUUCUCAAAACAAUAUUCAAGUAUAGCGACUGCCUGUAGGCAUUGCCACAACCAGAGUAUCUUCUCCCAUUAUGAAACUAAACUCCAAAUUUAUCCAUCUGCUUGGGGGAAGUUCAAAUAAGCAUUGGUCAUUACCUUAGCAGAGUCCACAUAACUUCUUCCAACCAUAUUAUGAGUAGAAAAAGUGAAUGCAAAACUAAACUGAACAUGUUGAAUCCCUAAACAAUAGGAGAUGAAGGUAACAAGAGGUUUGAGAUUUUGAAAAGUAGGGUGGGGGGCUUCCCCUCUUUCUAUCUUGGCAUGCAGUUCUGAUCCUUGUCCAAAGCUGAGGAGAUUAAGGAUUUGGUGGGGAGGAAACCUGAGAGGAGAUUAGCAGUUGGAAAAAGCAAUGACUUAUACAAGAGGAAACUAACUCUCAUUUUAUUUUCCUUCUGAUGUUUUAUACAAAGAAUGAGACAAACUCUCACUAAAGAUACAACAUUGAACAUCCCUGCAUAUUUCAUGUAGUUUUUUCACCAUUCAUCCUUGGUGAGGGAGUGCUUGGGGAGGAAGAAAAUAUGGUUUAGUCAUUCCCCAUUAAGUGCAGGACCGCAGGUUAGUUGGAAAUCAAGAUGUUGGGUUUGUCUACUGGGUCUUGUCAGGAAAUGGCCGUGAAGGCUCACUGUUGAAAAGGAUUAGCCUAUGGAGACAGAUAGUGGCCGAGACAUGUACGAAGAAAAGACUUGACAGUUGGUCCACUAGGAGAGUGUGAAUUUUCAUGGUGUGAGAUUAUGGAUGGUAUUUAAGGAACAAGGGAAAUUCUAACUUGUGACUAUUGAAAGAGAAAAUGGUCUAAAGAUACAUUUUUCUGGAAAAUUCUGUGGAGUGGAAGGGGUGGACAUUGAGAAUGAGAUAGAAGGACUAGGAUCCACUGACGGCAAGUUGCUUAAGGUGCAACGACGAGGGACGACAGUUGGCAUUUUCCAGCCUGUGAGGAAUUUUUCAAGAUCAGGAGGUAGCAAUGAUGACAGCUUUCUUGGAAAAGAUUUAUGGGGUUUGAGGGAAGGAGGGUUUUCAUUAGGGGAACGUGGGAGGUUUCCAGAAGAGGAGUUCUUGGUUAAUUCUUGUACGGAACUUUUCUCAGGGUGAAGACAAGCAAUUUCCAAGGAAAUUGGGGUUAUCAAGAACUUACAGAAGUGGAUACUUUAAGCAGACAACCAUGAAGGAAACCAUAUUAACUAUGGAUAAGUCAGUAAAGAGGGGAAACAUCUCCCAAAUUGGUUUGCAUGCGUAAGGUUGAAAGGGGAUGGGGAAAGUUCUCAUUCAUUAAAACAUUGCAACAGAGCUUGAUGACCUUGAUGUUUCAUUUGUUUGGGGCAUGCUGGGAGAUAUCCUAAUUCAGGAAAAGGGCUUCUCCUAUGAUGAAGGGGACACAUUCCAGAUGAUAAUGGUGAUAAACUCUAAAAAAAAACAUGAAACACCACUUUUGCUCUUGUAAAUUAGUGAGCACAAGACAAAUUUAUACAUGCACAUACAUGCUUCUGCACGCUACCUCAUUAACAAAUAUAUCAACUAUAAAAGGAAAUUUCACAGCAAAAUUACAAGGCAGAGCUAACUAAAUACCGUUGCAUUUACUUGCAUCUGGACUGGAUAGCUUAUACGAGCAAAGGGGAUAAUCUGAAGCGUCUUAGGCUCCCAAGCACAAACCUACACUGGCCAAAAUUGCCUAAAAAACAUGAGGCGGAGAGCAAUGCUGAGUAUACCACUUACAAUAUCCUAAAAUAUGCACUAGAAAUCUUUGCAUGUCUUCUUAUUGUGGCCAAGGCCCUUGCACUUGCUGCAUUGGAGUUGGCGUUUAAUUGUUUCUACUGAUCCAGCCUGCUUCAUCUUUGGCCGGCCUGGUGGACGUUUAGUAGGUGGAGGAGUCACGAUAAUUCCCACCUGAGUAGACUCAGUCUUCACUGGUCUGUCUACAUUUGGAACAGGGUGAAUUGAUUCUGCAUACGUUAAGCGGUAACUCUCAACUGUGAAGUAUCUUGAGCAAUAGUCAUAUGGGUUCCUACCAAUCCAUUCAAAGACAGCAAUAGCAUGGCAGCAAGGCAACCCACUGAGCUGCCAAUCUUUGCAGGAACAGUCCCAAUGAUCAAUAUCAACAAUAUCAAUAGAUUCCCCACGAACCUCAAAUGUGCUACCAUGCGAGAGUAACACUUGAAGCGAUCGUGCUGUGGAAGUAUCCUUUAGGAGUUUUUCCUCCUUAGAUGGUGUUAGCUUUGUUAUCCAUUGACUGGAAUCCACCCGACGUUUAUAGAUCAAUUCCAUCAUCUUACCUCGUAACACAUCAACCAUCUGUGUUAUGGGCAAGUCAUUUGCCUCAGAUACCCAAUUGUAGAACAGUUGUCCAAAGUUUGAUGCCAUGUGGCUAUACCUUGCUCCUCCAAAGAAUGCAUUAGACCAAUGGUCUGGCUCGCUCUGUAUGACCCAAUUGUAAGCUUCAGGUGAAAUGCCUUUUAUGUUUUCAGUACAACGCUGGAAAGUUUCAAGUCUGGAAGCAUAAGCAGCAGCAUAAAAAUCAUUAAUCAUGAAACGUCUUGCUUCAUGAGAAAACUGCCCCUUCAAGUCUUUGUUUAAUUUCUCAGUUAAAUAGCGAAGACAAUAGCUGUGGUAGCCAUUGUCAAAUAUCUCAGCCAAAGACUUCUUUAAACCCUUUUGAAAAUCUGCAACAAAGGUAAUUGGUCGAGCUGUUGACACUGCAGAUUUCAGUUCCAGCAGAAACCAACUCCAGUUGUCAUCAGUCUCAGCAUCAACUACGGCAAAUGCCACUGGAAAUACACCAUCAUCCCCAUCUGCAGCUGUUGCAGUCAACAACAUCCCUUGGUAUUUUGAGUUUAAAGGAGUGCUAUCAAGGAAAAGGAGAGGGCGGCAACCCUGCUGGAAACCAGAUAUUGCAGCAUGGAAAGAGAUAAAGAGACGAUGGAAGCUUGAAUCCUCCUUGGUCUCAAAUGUAGCAAAACUACCGGGAUUAGUCUCCUUUAUCUUCUCACAGAAAAAGGGUAAUUGACUAUAAGCCUCUUUAUAUGAGCCCUGAAGCUGCUCCCUAGCAAUCUCUUUUGCACGCCAUGCUUGUGAAUAGUUCAGUUGAAUCCCAUACUCUCGUUUGAUAUCAUCUGCAAUAUCUUUUGGCUUGUAAUUUGGGGAGACUUUCAACUUCUCCUUUAUGAUAGUUCCCACCCAACCCCUUGUAGCCCGAUACCCAGCUUUCACAAUGGCACCUUCACAUGUGUGUGUUGUAUGCAUUUUCUUAAUACAAAUUAACUGGGUUGUGGACAAUCUAGAUGCAUAUAUCCUCCAUGGGCAACCUUGCGAUUUGCAUUUUACAGUCACACGAUGACUGUCAUUUUUCUUAUAUUUGUAAGCGAAACCAUGUGCAAUUGAGUAUUUAUGCAAUGCUUCUCGAAAUUCAUUAAAACUAUUAAACCUUUGGUCUACGCCAGUGAUAGUGUUCUCCCACUGUUGAGCAGCUUUUUGAUGCUUGUCAUCAUUGGAAAUAACAGGAGCAUUAUCUGAAUGGGUAUAAUUAGCCAUGUCCAUAUCAACCUUAUCGAUGGCAUGGGUCAUGUCGACAACAGCAUCCACAGGGGCAACUGCAGGAACCACUGCUUCAGAUACAGUUGUCCUGCUUGACCUGCAUGAUCAAGCAUACACAAUAUUUUAACCAACAUACAAACAGCAACUCAUCCUCCACAAUAACAGUUUUGAAGUUCAAUUUGUUCCCCAAAUCACCGUGCAUCACACCAGGAUCCAGACAGAAACCUCACCAUUGUGCUAAAAAAAUCAGGGGAUUCUAGUCUGAAAAAUGAUGUGAGCACAAUCCUUGGUGCCCACAUUGCAACUCACUGCAACUGGGCACCAAACUGAACCCUGAAAGUAAGCAUCCUGAACAACAUGAGCCUGAGAAGAAUUAAACAAAAUUAAAAAUGGACACACCAAUAACUACCUACUAGCAGGCAUGAUGGAUUGGUUCCGAGGAACAGCUUCCUCUGUCAUGAUGAAUAUAUCAACCGUGACAGAAUCCCCCAGGAAUUUCACCAUGCGCUUUAGGUCCUUAUCUUUAGAGAUUGUGAUGAGAGUCUUCUUGUUAUCAGGAAGGAAGUACUUGAUAGACAUGGUAUCAAUACUACAAUUAAACAUUUCCGCCACUUCCAGCUUAAAAUCACUCAACUGCGUUUGCUGAUCAACAUCAAUUGCAUAUGCCUCUCCCCCAUUAUACGAUAAUGAACCAUCCUUGUUCGUCACAAACUCUCCUCCUGACUGACAUAUAGCUAUAACUUUCUUUGCGGCCAUGCCCUACCAAAUGAAAACCAGUAUAAAUAAAAUCGCAAAACACAAAUUCAUAUGAAACGAAUUCUACAAAAAUCCUCUGGCGCCAACACUCCAACAUCUUAAAGUCUAAACCUUUUCGCAAAUCGAAAAAGAAAGAAUUCUAAAAUCGAAUCAUAUCAACAAAUUACGAAGGUCGACAAUGAAAUAAAUCGGGAACCCUAAUUUGUGAGGGAAGAAGAAACAAAGCCAUACCUUUUCAAAUCCAAGACCGGGGAGAGACCUUCUCUCUGUGGUCGACGGUGUCCGCCGGUGGCCGGAGGGAUAGGGAGAGCGAGAGGUGCUUCCGCACGCACGCACAGACCAGAUCAAACUCAACCGUCUCUGUUGUUAUGCGUUCCGAUUCUUAUCCAGUCACUCCCGGUGUAACUUAGUUAAAUUAUGUCCGCGUCUCUAAGCCGUUGACUUCAUCGACAACCUACUUGAUGAGGAUUUGACCCCACUUGAUUAAUCAGGUGCUCUAAGGUUCAUGUAGAUGAUUCCUGUCAGCUUCCAAUUAAAAUCAUGCCAUCCGUGAUCUAAAAAAAUAAAAAAUAAAAAAAAAUCUCCUAAGAUGAUGCUACAGGCUUUGUUUAGAUUUGGGGAUGGAUUAUUUAUUUAAUUAAUUAUGAAAAAAAAAAUCAUAUUUAAAAUAAUACUUACUUUUGAUUUUUUUGACUUUUUGGUAUGUCAAAAAUUCUAUUUUAAUUUCCAUAAAAAUUUCUUCAACUUUAAUGAAGGUUAUUACCUUAAAAAAGGUUAUUGAUUAAAAGGGUUUGUGAAAGCCCAAUUUUUUAAAUUUAACUCUCUGUAAUUUUAUUUUUUUUGUCUCAUUUGGAUAAAAAUACUCUUAUUAUCUUAUUGUAAAAAUAAUAUUUUCUUUAAAACCUACCUAUAAAUACUUGAAAUGAUAAAUGAUAUUUAUAUAUAUAAAAAAAAGUUAUUUUUUAAGUAAAAAUAUGGGAAGAGUUAAAUUCAUAAUUGCUUUUUGCCCGAUGACAAAUAUAUAAAUUGGUUUGCACUUGAAUUUCAGUGAUGAGGUUGGUCGUAGAUCUUAAGUAGACUGAUCAAUAAACUUAAUGGACGUAGGGAGGGAAAAUAGGGCUACUAAAUAUUUUUAAAAAAAUUUGGCUUCCUCGUAAGCUUUAAUUUCUAACAAAAGGCUACAAUAGAGAUAUUUCAUGAAUUCUUGAUAACUAAUUUUAGUUAAAGUUUCAAUGCAUUAUAUUUCUUGUCGUAGUAUUAAAUUAAUAUUUUUAUUAAAAAUAUCAAAAUCCUUCGUUCAAGGUAAAAUCAUGGUGGUUAGUCCCAUCCUUUUAAGUUGUUAAAAAGUUCAUCGUGAAUAAAGAUAAUUGUUGAAGUCAUACAUCCAAAUUUUUAGAAUUUGUAUGAUACUAAUUGAAGAUCAGAUGAUUUAGAGAGAUAUCGUAAUUUAUAAAUUUUUUUUUUCAAGUAUUAGAAGGGUUAUGUAAUUAUUAUUUGAUCACAAAAUUAUCAAAGAAAAAAUUAUUAAUAAGCUAGAUUAAUUAAUUUAUAUUGAUAAUUUUGUUUUAAACAUUAAUAGUUCAUUUUAUGUACUUCUUUACAUUAUUAAAAAAAAGCACACAUACCCUAAAUUACUAUUUAAUUGUUUUUUCAAAUGUUAUUAAUAAUUUCAAUAUCCAAAUUCAUUAUUCAAGGUAGAGUCGUUGUGGUUGAUCACAUCUCCUCAAGCAAUUGAGAAAUUCAUAAAGAAGCACUUGAUGUUGUAUGGUUGAAGUAAGGAAAUAUUAAUGAAUUUAUUCAAUAAUCAAUUAGGCCAAUUGUUUUUUAACAUUUACGGAUUUUAUGGUAAAUCUUAUAAGUGGUUUUUCAUAUACACCAAAUGUCUUGUGUGGUAUUGGAUAUUUAUAAUUUUUUUAAUUUAUUAAGAAAUGUAUUUUUUUGAAAACUUUGUUUAGUUUUUAUCUAAUAAAUAAAUAAAUAAAUAGCAAAAUAUUUUAUUAUUUUCUUUGAUAUUCUUUUCAUAUAUUUUUUUCCCUUGACGUUCAAAUAUUUAAAAAAAAAAUUAAUAAUUUUCAUAUUUCUUGAAUACUUUUCAAGAAUCAAAUAUUUACUUAAGAAAAGACUCCUGCUGAUUACACAUGUAAGGUGUAAUGGUAACAAUAACUAAUAAAAAAUUUAGUUAUUUUAUUCUUAACAUGAAAAAGUUAGCAUAAUAUUUCAUAAAAUUAUUUAUGUAUUAGGGUGCAAUAAUGUGGCUCUUAAAUCCGAGGAUGGAUUACCCAAAUGAUGACUCUUAGAAUAGGUUUGUGGGGUUUAAUGUCGAAUGUCAUCAAAUGUUUGACCUACCCUCACUAACUACCAAUUGGUUUUUAAAUGAAAUGAUAAAAAACUUGAUCCAAUAAUUAAUAUCAGAGUCAAAGUCGGGGUUAGGGUUUGAUAUUGUUAUUUUCUCUAUUAUUUUCUUUGGUAUUCUUUUCAUAUAUUUUUUUUCCUUGACGUUCAAAUAUUAAAAAAAAUAAUAAUAAUUUUCAUAUUUCUUUAAUACUUUUCAAGAAUCAAAUAUUUACUUAAGAAAAGACUCCUAAAGAUUACACAUGUAAUAUGUAAUGCUAAAAGUAACUACUUAUAAAAAUUUUAGUUAUUUUAUUCUUAACAUGAAAAAGUUAGCAUAAUAUUUCAUAAAAUUAUUUAUGUGUUAGGGUGCUAUAAUAUCGCUUUUAAAUAUGAGGAUGGGUCACUUGAAUAAUGACUCUUAGAAUAGGCCUACUAUUGAAUGUCAUAAAAGACUUGACUUACCCUCACUAACCACCAAUUGGUUUUUAAAUGAAAUUAUCAAAACCUAAUCCAAGAAUUAGUAUCAAAGUCAGACUCGGGUUAGGGUUUUGAGUCAUAGGAGCGUCAUGUUGAGGUGCAAUAAUGUCACUCUUAAGUCCAGGGAUGGGUUACCCAAUUGAUGGGUUUUAAAAUAAGCAUUCGAGAAGUGAUGUCGAAUGUCAUAAAAGAUUUGACUUACCCUUACUAACCACCAAUUGGUUUUUAAAUAAGAUGGUCAAAACCCGAUCAAGAACAUUCAAUCAAACUUACAUGUGAAAAUAAUAUGUUUCAUAUGUUAUUUUCAUGUAGUAUAACAAUAGGAAUAAAAUACCUUUGAUAAUUCGAUUAUCAAUUUUUCCUUUUGAAGAAUAGGAGUAUGAAAACUUGACUAGAAAGAAUUUUAAUACCGAAGUAGUUAUAUUCCCCAAAAUCAUUAUAAUGAAUUUUCAUACCAAUAAAAAUCAAUUUGUUUUCGGAUUAGAAUUAGACUAUAUUACAAUAAAUUUUUAUUUGUGGUCAAUUUUGAUAUAAUAAUAAAUUUGAAUUUUUCGAAUGAUCAAGUGGAAUAAUUCUAAUUAUAAAUUAAUUUAAUAGGAAAUUAGUUAUGUUUAAGAAAAUUAUGAUAAUGAAAUAUCGUAUGAAAAAAAAAAAAUUACUAGUAGAUGUGUGAUGAAAAUAUUGAGAGACACUCAAAACGCAGCGUUUUGGGGAUCUGCAGUCUGACCCAAAACGCAGCGUUUUGGAAAGUGUUAUCCCCAAAGCGGAAAACAGAAGCGAGGGAAACAGAGAAAUGAGUUACGGCGUGGUGGGAGGCCUCGCUGCUCCUCCUCUGAAUGUAAAUGCAAAUUCAUCUCUCUCUUCCUGCGUAUGCUUCUGGGUUGUCUCUCCUUUCUCUUUCUAUGUCUUUCUCUCUCUCUCUAAUGAUAAUGAUAGCGAUGUUGUUGCGGCUGAUUUUUGUAAUUUUUAGCAGAGUCUGAGUGAUGGGGGUGGUGGAAGUGGGGGUGGCGGCGGCGGCGGCGGCGAUUCCAUCCACUUGGGUAAUACCAGUGCGAGUGGUUAUAAAUGGCGUUUGGUUAUAGCGUAUGAAGGCACCCGUUAUUCAGGUUGGGUCUUCACUUUAGCUUUAGAUUUUUUCACAUUUUCGUUGAAGUGAAGAAGAUCUUUUAUUCAUGAUCAUAUAUACGUAAUAUCAUGUUUGGGAACUCUGUGAUUCUGAUUUCUGUUUGUUUCCAUUAGUCUACGCUCAUAUAUUUAGUCUUUAGUUCAAGACAACUCCCUAAAGAGAAGCAAAUGGCAUCCUUUUUUUUGGGGGGCAAUCUCAAUCUCACCAUUCUCAGGCAUUGCUCUUUGAAACUUAAUAUCUGAUGCUACCUGCAUCCUUGGGUAACCGAUUUAUUAUUCUUUGUGUGUGAAUUUUGGGGAAGUGGGUCUAAAACACCAAUCUGUGUUUAGUAUUAUGCAAGGAAAUGUAAAUUUCAGAAUUGGUCCAAGGGAAUUGGGUAUUUCUUGUGUUUGAAACCCCCAAUGAACUUAAAUCUUUGGUGAAAAAAUCAUCCUCAUGGUACCAAAGUUGCUUUGUAUUUUGCGGGAGAACAGACUGGUUGUGUUCAUGCCUUGGGUUCCAGUUUGGGUUCUGCACAACUCCGUUGUUAUUGUGACCUCUGUUAAGGUUCUUCUGUUGCCAUUACUCAAGUAUCUGGGCAUUAUGGGGGUGAGCAACCUGAGUAUUUUUGCAUCCUUUGUGUUCUCUUUUCUUGUUUAGUUGUUCAUCCAUUUUCUAUUCAAGCUUCACUUUUAUCCAGCAAUGAUGCAAUUCACUUUGCAAUCUCUGCUUUCAAUAUGUAAAUUUCUAUUGGGAAAAAUACUUACUUUUAAUAAUUGAUUGACAAGGAAGUUGUAAGCAAGGUACAGAAGUAAUUUUUAUUUAUUUAUUUUAUUUUUAGAAAAUUGGACUUAGUUGUAACUAAGGUACAGGACUUAGUCAAUUGAACAUCUCUCAGAUUGCAACAUGUCAAUUUUGGAAAUUUAGUCAAUAUGUGGUGCGGUAGAGCAUAAAAUGGCAUGCAGUGGCAGUGACAGUUAAGGAAGUGGUGGUGGCGCCCGCAUUUUUAGUGAUGGCUGCAGGGGCUGUAGAAUUUUGGAGGAGGUAUGGUUUGUUGGUCAGGGUGAUGAUGGCAACGACAUUAGGGGUGGUGGAACUGGUGGCAAUGGCGGUGAUAGCAGUGGUGGUAUUGUUGCCAAGGUGGCAGAAGUUGUGGCAGCAUUGGCAAUUGAAGCAAUAGCAACCGCUUUCGAUUGUGGUGGUGAGAGUAGCAGUGGCCAGGUUGGAAGUAGAGGUGAAGGUCACAUUGCUAGAAGAGGUGAUGAAAAGCAAAGAUCAAAACCAUGUCACAUGGGAUUUACAAGUCUCAACUAGAAGGAAUAAUUUUGGACAUCCUCAAUUUGUAAGGAUCUCUAAGUCAGAGAAUGAGAAACCCUGUGGUUUUAGCAGGAAGAACAUUAGAUCUUGAUAAACUCUCAGGAUUUCAAAAUCCACACCUUCUUGUAAAUAAAUAGGCUCUCCAAAAAGUUGGGGAAUUUUGUAACACAGCAUAGCCAUUGCUUUCUUCAUGCCGUUUAUCUUUUUGGCAAGCCAACUUUCUUAGGUCUUCAUGUUUCAAAUAUGGGCAUAAUUUUAAGAUCUCCCAAGACUUUAAGCUUAUUUUGUCAUCACGAUCAUUGUCUUAACCUCAUGAUACUAUUUGUUCCAGGUUGGCAAUAUCAGCAGUCACCGCCAACCAUACAGUGCAUUGUGGAAAAAGCAUUAACCAGAGCGACAAAGCUAGAAAGGGAGGACCUGUACUUGGUAGGUGCAAGUAGAACAGAUACAGGAGUCCAUGCCUGGGGUCAGGUCUGAUUUUCUUACUCUUGUGAGGAUUGAGAAAGGAUAUCCUCCAACGACCAAACAAACUUACCAGUUACAAUCAGUUAAGCUUUCAGGUGGCACACUUUCUUACUCCUUUCAACUAUGAUGGCUUGGAAAGCAUCCAUGCAGCCCUAAAUGGUCUUCUUCCUCCUGAUAUCCGAGUUAGAGAGAUUAGCCCAGCAGUACCUGAAUUCCAUGCCCGUUUUUCAGUGAAGAGCAAGAUUUAUCAUUAUAAGAUAUAUAAUGACGCUGUCAUGGAUCCUUUUCUGCGUCAUUAUGUGUAUCAUAGUGUAUAUAAACUCAAUACUCUUGCCAUGAGGGAGGCUGCAAAGCAUUUCACUGGAAAGCAUGAUUUCUCUGCUUUUGUCAAUGCAUCACAUAAUGAUCGGUCACCAAACCCAGUUAAGAAUAUUUUCCGGUUCGAUGUCAAUGAAAUGGUAAUUGCAAGCUUCAGAAGAAUGACACUUUAAAAGAACUGUUAUUUCGUAUGGUAGUCUGAGAGAUUCAGUUGUAUCUGUUUUAACCUUCUUUCAUUUCUAUGUAGAUGUUUUUGGAACUGAUAGUUAAUUGUAUUAUCGCCCAGGGUGCUCUUUUGCAGCUUGAAGUUGAAGGUUCGGGUUUUUUGUAUCGACAAGUGAGGAAUAUGGUAAAUCAUUCUGUUCUUUCUGUAUAUGAUCCAUGUUCAGAAACUCUGUCUAUUUCACCAGUUUAUAGCCAACCACAUUUGCUUCAUGGUGGUUACUGUCUUCACAAUGGAUCUUUGACAGGAAAAAGCAUUUGUCUGAUUUCAUCUUUGCAGGUUGCUCUGUUGCUUCAAAUAGGAAGGGAAGCAAUUCCUCCUAAUAUUGUUCCCUGGAUUUUAGCCACUCGAGAUCGAAAGGAGCUUGCUAAAUACGCAUUGUCUGCACCACCCCAUGGACUCUGCCUCAUGAGUGUCAAGUAUAAUGAAGAGCACCUACAGCUUCCUUCAGGUUGUCCAGCCACUAGUCAUGGCAGGCAUCAUACUGUACGCAAAUGUAAGCUUCCAUUCUAUUGAUAAAUUUUGAAUUGUACCAGAAAGAAGAGGAAAUUCAAGAAAUUUAUAUCAAAUCAUUCAAGUUCAAUAUUCUUGGCACUUGUGUAGAAAGUCUCAACCAGGCUCCCCAACACUCAAGGGCAUGGAGUUCUCAGAUCAGUUUAGAGAAAAAUUCUAUGAACAUGAACCAAAAUUUUUAGUUGAUGCAUUUAAUUGUAAUUCCCUGAUGUAUUUAACAUACAUGCAUUUAAUCACUGUUCAAUCAACUUGCAGUCUAAGAGUGUUUACUUCUGCAAUGCCUGAGCAAAUUACAACCUUAAGAGUUUAAAGCCAGUUCACCAGGCAGAGUAGUUUUUGACAUUUCUCACAGUGAUGGAUCUUCCUAAAAUAGUCAUGUAAAGAAGAUGAUACAGGGGAAAAAUAUUUAUAUCUCAAAAAAUCUAAGCUCUACCAUGAAUUCCUCGUGCUUAGGGGAAUACCAGGCAAUGGCUUUUGCUGAACCGAGGACUUGCAAUGCAUAUUCAAUGGCAAAUACUGGUUCAUCCACAUCUAUAUGCCACUCUCUAUUUUUCAAAUUGACAGCAACUCCUGAAUCAAUUCUGAAGCUGAAAGGUCCAACAAUCUGCAAUAAGUAUAUGGUAAAGGUUACAACUGGUUCCUCAGCAAAAUGAUAUAUAGGUGAACAAAGAAUUGAAGAUUUCCCAAAUUUCCUUCUGAACUUGGGCAAAAGAAGGCAAACAAAAAAUUGUCAAAAUCUUAGAACAUCAAAUGCUGCCCAAUCAGAAAAAUUUGGUCAAAUUUUUUGAGAAAGAUACACCUGACACUAGUUAAUUCCUCUUUUCUAGAUUCUUGAAAACUAUCGAGAAAUAUUGUUCAAACAUAAUUAAUUCUAAAAUUUGGUCCCACAUUAACCCUAGAGGGAAUGCAUGGUGCCUGAUCCGAAGGCCAGAUGCCUGCAAUCCUAAUAUGAAUAUAAUCAAACACCAACAAGCAGUAACCCUAAAUACUCACAAUCUGGAGCCUAAAAGAGCCGCGAAUUUUGAAAUUUCAGAAAGGCAAACAGCAGAAAUCCAAUGUUGACAUCCAACUUCAAGGCUAUGCCUUUGCUUUCUUUAUCAGCAAAAUUUUAAGUCAAUUUUGACAACAAUACGGUUCAACGCACAGAUAAGAACUAUUGUCACCAAAAUAAGUUUGUUUAACAACAUGAUUCUAUCAGCUGAUAAUUCUCUUUCUUGUUAUUACAUUAGUCUAGUCAUGAUUUGCAAAGCAUUUUGCAAAUAUACAAAUAUCAGAACUCAUGAGAGAUAAAGCACAAACCUGUUGCUGAAGCGAAAGGGUGGCAGUAGGGCAAAUGGCCUGGAAUGCUUCCAGACUUGGCUGUUGAGAGUUGUAGAGAUCUUGGGUCAGACGUGUAGUGCCUGCUAGAAAUUUUGAACCAGAAGGAAAAUCCAAGCGUGCAUAAAAUCGGGUAAGAUCCAGGAAUAGCCUUUGAAAAUUUCCAUGCUGCGCUGUAAAUGCCACGGAUGCAAAUAUAUCUGCUACAAGAGCAGACUUUACCCUAGGAAGAUGAAGCUUGAAACCUUUAAAACCAUGCGAUUCAUCUUCGACUUGCACCCUAACUGAAUUAUCUCCGAGACAAGCAGUCCCCGCAGCACCUAUAGGUGUGAAAAGAUGGACCCAAUUUGUAAAGUAUAAACAAAUAAGAAUUGGAAUAUCAUGGAAGUGAUGAAUCUAUUUGAAAUCUGACAAUGGAGAAUGGUGGUAACGAUGGUCAGUCUCAGAGUUCAGAAUGCUAUAACAGCUGACAAAAUGGUCAGGAGCAAAUGAUUGUAACAACUAGGAAACCCCAAGCUGAUUGAUGAUUUGAUUACCAAGCAGUCGCACAAGUUCAACCCACAUACUAGACACUCUGCUAUUACAAGACAAAGGUUACAAAUUGGCAUAUUCCAAAGAAAAAACUGGGAUCACAAGUGCUGUGCAAAGGCAACACAAGAAAUAUAGGACCCUCAAUCAUGAAAACUUUUAAGCCACCUAAGUAAAUGAGUGGUUCAUUGCUUGAUGACCACUUGCAUGAUAUAGUCUACAGACAAGUAAUGAGGGUCGUAGUCCCUUGAUAUUGCACAAAGCUCAAAAGCAUUUCCAGUGGUUUCGAAUUACAAAACAAAUGAGCAGGCACCUAGAGUAAAUAGUUCCACCUUGAUCUAUUUAGAGAUAAAGUUGGGAAAGUGAGGAGGCUAUAUCUCACCAAUAAUUCCUGAAAAUGAAAUGUGAGGAUUAGACAGGAAUAUGUCAAAUGGUUGCACCAUCUUCAACUUCUGUGCUUUACUUCUCCACAGAUCAAUAUUCUUCUUAAGUGCAAAAGCACCUUUGGCACACAAGCCCGGAAGCAGGGUAGCAGGUACUUCAUGGGUCUGAUUGCCAUCAAACUGCUUGGGUGUCCCCGUGUUAUGGUGCACAGACAAAUGAUAACUAGCACCAGAGUCAGAAGCUACAGAAGCUAGAUCAAUUGCCAUUGACAAUGGCACAUCCCAAUAAGUACCAAAUUUGUCAACAAAAAGGCCUGGCCAAACUGCCUCCACCAUUAAAUUGUGAUUGGGAAACUGCAAGCACAAUCAAAUAGAUGCCAAACAAGCUAUUCUUAAAGGCAUAUAUCCUCAUCAAGACUACGAAAAUGAUACAAUUGGAGCAGUUAUGCACAUUUACCUUGUGAAGAAAGACGGCUUUCUUUCGAGGAACCUUCUUAUCACCAUAUGCUUCUAAGCUAACAAGAAGGGUAUCAUCAGGUGUUAUCAGGAGCUCCGAGGACAAACCAAGGGCAUACAAUGAUUUAUCUGAGAAACGCCUUCCAAUGCCUUGCAGCCAGGAUGAUUCAGAGGGUUGCAGCAAUCUACCCUCUUUAACAGAAGACACAAACUUCUGAAAAUUGAACUGACCCAGCAAAGAGGCAAACCUGCAUGACUUCAAACCCAACUAUGUUGAUCUUGUGGCGGGUGCGAGGUUUACAAUGGAGUACAAAAAUUAAGAGGCGAAUUGAAAGAAAAUACAUACCAAUUCUCAGUGAAGGGGAAGGUGAAACCGCGUUGAAGGGAGAAGCCGUGAGUGGAAAUGGAGGAAGAGGGGACAAAAGGCAUGGACAUGAAGCGCUGGAAGAAAUCAAUCUGCAUGGGUCUGGAAAGCCUGGUGCCUCUAGACAACCCUAAAGGUAGAGGGUCAUCUGGAACAGCUCUGGCCACUCCAUCGAGAGUGGUGGCCGUCGACAUAUCCAAUUCCCAAAACCCACCGUCCAUUGCCCAUCUCAACUUCUUCAUCUUCCCACAACUCUAACCAUCAACAGUUGCAGGCUUCGGAGAGUGCAAUGCCUUUUGCUGAAAGAAAUCACAUUCUGGAAUUACGAUAAGAGAAAGAAGUAGAAGUGCCGGGGGUUUCAGGGUUAGGGUUUACCUGGCUGUGGAUAAAACUCCCGUCUUUCUCCCUUUCUUCCAAAGCAAAGCAUCAGAGGAGCCCUAUUUUUAACUUAUUUUUAUCCACAUUUUAUUCGAUUAAAUUUAAACUUAUUUUUAUUUUUCUUCAACUUUUCUCUUUUUUUUUUUUCUUCCUUCGUCAUUUUUUGUCCCAACUUCUUUUCAAACCUUUCAACAGAAGCGAGGGAUUAAAAAUAUGUUUAACAGAUUUUAAAGCACGUUUUUAAUCAUUUUAAUAUUUUAUAAAAUUACUAUAAAUUUAAAAAUAAAAAAUUUGAAAUCAAUUCAUUCUUUUUUAUUAAUGUCUUUGAAUUAUUUUUAAUAAAAAAUAAAAUAAAAAUAUAUCAUCUCAUCUUUAUCAGGGUUUUGACUACUUUCUUGAUUAUAUUUUCAUUGCUAUUCCUACAUACCGAACAGAGUCUAUUUCUAUUCCCACUCCAAGUUGACUGAAUGAGAAAUGAUGUUGAUGAGUGAGGCAGCUUCCUGUUGCCUGUAAGGUUGAAAUGUUGUUGCAGAAUGCAAAUCCUUUAUCGAAGAGUUCGGAAUGUACACCAGAAUUGAAUCUCACUCCAGUCCCACUGAAGGUUGCUCAUUACUAGUUCAUGUUCAUCUUCCUUGCUUUGUAUGAAGCAGCAGAGCUUCUGGGUCAGGUAAGUUAAUAUACAGUACUGUUCCAAAAUCAUUAGCAGCAACAGCAUUUAGGAAACACUCAGAUACUUUAUUAAUCAUAUACUUUAGAGAACAUAUACAUGAUGUUAUUUCCAUGUAACAGGAGCUUUUCCAUCACAUUGAUCAAGAACAAAAUCCAUACCCCAUAUGCUCACUCUUUUAUUCCCUCAAACUUUUUUUUUUUGGGCAUUUUACAGAUCAAUGUCUUAAAAUCCCAUGCCUGCUGUAAUGUCAAUGACCAUCAUUGCUAUCAGCAAAUUUAACAGGAUGAUCUUCUGGUUUAACUCUGGUCUUUAACAUCAGUCCAUUAAAUUGUGACUGGUACCAAGAGUAUGAAUCAUGAGCGAGAGUCUACACCAGGAAACAAAAUAUAAAGUAUAAGUUAGAAUGAGAAGAGGAUGUAGUUAAAGAGACAGAAACAGCAUGAUGCAGAGAAGGGAAACUAUGGAGUGCUGCUUUACUGCCUACAUGAGAGCAAGACAUUACUUUUGAAUGAUUAUUCGAAUGAUAUAAUCACGCCCUUUGUCCUUGUCGUGACCUACCUAUUUAUGCAAUAUAAUGGGGGUAAAAACAAGACAGAAAAUAUGAUGCAGAAAGCCAUAAUACUCUGAAUACCUGUUCCUGUGAGUGAAAAUACAUAAAGGGUGUAUAAUGUAGGAAAUUUGAGACCCUAGAGGUGUAAAUAUCAGCAUACCUGCAAUUGGAAGAUAUUGUAAGGAUCAUAUAAAGGUAGAACCCUUAGUUUAUGAAGUUUAGUUACUCCUACAUAAGAAAAAAAGAAGGCAUAAUGAAGGAAAAGCACAUACUUUUCAAUUUGUCUCAUCAAGUGACUUUUAUCCCAAAGACCCGCACGUGAAAGAAAGCCCCACCUAACAUGAGAGGGUUUCAUCAGGUCAAUUUCAUGAAUUCAUAUGCAGGGAACAUAAGACAUUCACACACAUAACUAACCCAAACACCUCAAAUCAUAAAAACUUCAUUUAGGCAAUAGCAAAUGAUGUAAAAGUUUCACUUCUUUUCCUUUUUUGGAGAAUCUAUGAGUAUUUUUAGGUUGCCCGUGUAUAGCCACAGGUUUUUAGGUUACUAAACUUAUAGAGUUUGGAACUGGAUAUAUUUAAGAGGAACAAAUUGUUGUCAACUAUUUCCUGGCUCUAUUUGCUUCGAAGGAAAAACUUUUCCAGGGAUAAUUUUUGCUGCAAAAGAAAAUUAAAAAAGAACUGUAAAGAGAUAUUUUCAACAAAUUAAAUUUUUUUUCCUGCAACUAACCUUCUCUUACCUUUUGCUAAAGUGCUCUCCAUCAGCAUCUAACAUUGGUGCAAUUUUUUCGUCUAAUCUUUGCAUAACAAGAAGUAGCUUCUGCAUGGUCUCAGUGAGUCCUUGAUUAUCCAUAUUAGUUGCAGCAAGAGUCUGAAAAAUAGCAAAAGGCCAUAAAUCACCUAAAAAAGAACUACAUCACUUGUUGGAUGGGUACUGACAAAACCAAAACCCAUCUGGGCAGUGGGUACAGGUAUUACAACUCAAAACAAUUACAAGGGCUUCAAUUGUCUCUGUUUUCUACUUCUUUACUCAUUUUUAGCCAUUUUGGUGAAUCUACCAAUCAGAAGUACAGUUUAAAAAAGAGAAAUAUAAUUCAUCAUCUCAUUAUCUUGACUAAGUUUUCCCUGAGUUGAGUAAAAUUGAGAAAAAAUUUGGAUCAUUCUAUUGGGAGGAGAAUCACAUGUAUAUGCUAUUUCCUAUAGACUACGUAAGUGGUAAGUUCAAACUAUGGAGAGGAGCUUUAAAUCAUUAAGGUUUAGAAUGGUACAAAGAAUAUAUGAAUUGCAAUCAUUUAUUAAACUGUGUAGAAACAGGGGAUGGCAAAUAUUGAUUGUCAAAGGAUACAAGAAAGACCAUUUUCAGUGUCUAGGUACAACUGAACCAUAAGGGUAAGAUUGAAGUUGGCAUUUCCAAUAGAGAAAUUGCAGAUGAAACAAGUGGACCAAUGCUCCGGGACUGUUGUAUCAAGAGAAACAACUAUACUUUAUUUUACAAAAGAUUAGGCAGUUAAAAAAAAGUAAAAAAAGAAAAGAUUUCAUAAAAUGAGCAUGGCUCAAAAGAGGCUGCUAAGAUGGAUGAAUGGAACAAACUAACUAGAAUGAAAAAAGAUGCAUAAACCAAUUUUUACACUGAGUAGUGAUGUGGAUUAAGUGGAGGCACUACAGAAAAGAGUAAGGACAAAAAGAUGAUGGGUUAUGGUUCAAAAAGGAUGCAAUAGCAAGUGAUUUAUCAGAAGAUAUGAUCUUAUAUAGAGCACAGUGGAAAAGGAUGACUUGAAUGGUUGAUCCUAAAUUCUGGUUAAAGGCUUCGCAGAGUUGAGUUAAACUGAGCUACCAUCUCAGGCUAAUGCAUUGUUAAUUGGAAUGAUUCUAGCAACAUAGUGAAUAUGGUCCACUAAGCAUGGAAUCAUAUGUGAGCCUAACUAAAAUAUGGUAAAAAGUAGAGUUCAUAUGAAGAAGCAGGAGAACUUCUCUAUAAAGUGAAAUCGCCUUUAAAAUCAAAUGGUAGUUUCACAAAAAAAAAAAGGUAAGGAGAACUUUAUAAGUUCCAAUUGGAGAAUGCAAAAUCAUAUAUAAUAAAAAUUACAGGGACAAGUUAUUUGUGUGGAGGGAAGGGAAGAGGGAGGGUAAAAUCACAUACAAGUUUAUCUGUAAAGAAGUAUAAUUGAUUAAAAUUCAGAGGAUAGCUAUGUGAAAGGAAAGUAAAUGAUAACUUUGCAGAUUCCAACUUGGGAUUACAAAAUCAUAUGCUAUAAACAUUACAGGAACAAUUUACUGGUAUGAAAAGAUGGCAAUUCAUUAACAGGAUGUAUAUUAGAUGAACAAGAUGACUAUCUGAAGUGGGAGCAAAAUGAAACGUCAUAAGAGUGAACUGUGUGACUGGACCCAACAAAAACAAUGUGAUACAACCCAAUAAAACUUACUUGAGCAGGCCGCCCCUUGGUUCGCCUUUGCAAAGCAAGUCGAAGUUGGUUAAAUAGAUCUCCUACAACUUCCUUCUGAUUUAUAAGGUCUAUCAGUGUGGCCCGAUGACUGCUACUACGAAUCAAUGCAUUAUACUGCAUUUCCAAAUUAAUAACACAUGAAAAGGGACCAUUUUCAGCAUUUAAUCAGUUGAGAAUGUUAAAAAUAUGAAAGAAAAUAUCAUUUUCAAAUAUAUGGUUUAAGAUUAUCCUGUUAAUUUUUUGGAUAGGCAAUAGAAAUACACACACACACAAAACACAAAAAACAACUCUCUCUAUCAAGAUCCCGCCCAAUCAAUAAAAUCAACUAAAGGCAUUAAGCUUUCUUUAAUGUACAGCCACCCCAAGCUAUAGGUUACUUAGGAACAAACAUUUCAACUUUUGAUCAGACUGGCUCCUGUUUAUAAAACUAUAACGACAGUAUACACAAAUUUUGUGCAUUAUUAUUUGAGGUCAGAAAAUUUCUUUUUCUUUCUCUGUUUCUAGUUUCAGUUCUAAUUGUCAUUAGUAUGUCAUUGAUAAUGAUAACUGUUGGAAUUAAUUGUCAUUAGUAUAUCAUUGAUUAUGAUAACUGUUGUAAGUAAUUCUUCAGUAGUCAAACUCUGGAUUUCCAAAAAAUAUAUUGUAACCCUUGCUUUGAUCAAAGAGAUAGAAUAAAAAGUAAAAUAUAAAAUCUAACCUCUUCUUCAAGUUCUCGACAAAUCAAAGCCGUCCGCCAACGCAGAUGUACUUUUGAUUGGCUUACAUCUGUAUGAAUGUGGUCACCGACAUACAAAAUCUCAUCUCCAUGGAUUUUAAGGGAAUUUUCAAUCAUCUGAGCACUCCCUCCUGAGUAUAAGCCCCCUGCAAAAAAUAUAAGAAGGAUGAAUACACAAAAUAGUUGAACCAUGACAGUUUACAAUUUUAUUUAACAUUUUGCAGAUUAAGUGAUCUCCGGAAAACAGAAUUCUUCAAAACUUGCACAAGACAUUCAUACGUUAUGUGCAUGGAGAGUGGAGAAAUGGUUGAUCGUCCAUUUUUACGUUGUCUAAUGGCUUUGGGGCUAUGGUAUAGACAAUUCAGACAACCUAGUUUGGAUUGAGCUCCACCAAGGAGCAUAUGCAACAUCAUGACCAUCUCAUAUAGGGGUUUGGGGGGCACCACUAGAGGCAUGGUUUUUUAGCAAAUCACUAGUCUCACAUUAAUUUGGUUUGUGUGGGUGCUACCUUCUUUAGUUAGAGAGACUCUCCUUAGUUGACAUGGUUCUUUUGUGGGCAAAAAGCGUAAGAAGGUGUGGAGAGCAACUCCUCUAUACAUCUUUUGGACAGUUUGGAAGACAAGAAAUAGAUUGACCUUCAAUGAUGAUGUGCUUUUGAUCCAGAGACUCAAAUACCAUUUUUCUUUUUUCCCUUGGUCAGAGGCAAAGUUGUUUAUAGCCGAUCGCCCUCUAACAUUAGUUAGUUUUAUUGAUUGGUUGAGUUCUAGUUAAGGUUGUUUUUUGAUUCGACUAGGCGCUUAUUUUCUUGUUCUUUUUGGCCGGUUUGAUAGUGGGUGUAUAGAUAUUGUAUAACUUGAGCCGCUCUUUUGGCGGCUCUUUUCAAUAGAUCUUUUCUUUACCUAUAUAAAAAAAAAUAUUAAUUUGGUUUGUGUGGUAGGAAAGAAACACCAGGAUUUUUUAGGACAAUUGGAGAUGUCAAAGAGUCUUUGAGAUCUAAUUUACUUCUAUUUUCUCUUUUUGGGCUUCUAGCACCAAUGCUUUUAAAAACAUUCCUCUCAAUAUUGUUCAACUCAAUUGGUAUUCGGUGUGUAUAACAAAUGGUUUGGAUAGAAAUGAGAGGAGCUUUGUUUAGGUUGCUUUUGGAAGGAAAUGUGUUCGUCCUUAAGGAGUGAUGAGAUGCUUAUAUUAUAAAUUCUCAUGUGGCACUAAACCAAUGUAUAAGUCUCCUUGUAUAGUGGAUCAGUUUUUGUAAUUUUGUGGAGAAUUCCUCAGCCUCCUCAUGUAUUUUUUAUCCAUCUUUAAUACCUAUUUUGUUUCCGAUAAAAAAAAAAUAAAAAAUUCAUACAGUCUGGCAAGCACAUUCCCAGGAUUCAUCAGUGAAAAAAGGUUUAGGGAGAUCAGAUAAUAGUGGAUGUUUUCCAAGCGAUUGAAAGAAAUGGUCAUCCUUGUAACCUUUAUAGGAAAUGCUCUAGACCAAUGAUCGAAUACUCAUUUUUUUUUUUUUCGUAUAUCUACUAAGAAGGGCACAAAUAUCUUCAAAAAUAUUCAUCUGCUUUAUUUCUUAAUUAAUAGUGACUAAUAAAUUCCUGAGGAUAAACUCAAUCCAGAGAACAAUUUUUAUUUUUAUUUUUUGGAAAAAAGAAGAAGAAGAAAGGAUAAGGACAAGAGCCUUAUAAUAAAAGAGAUUAUCUGCCUCAACAUGCCAGGUUACACAUAACCUGGCAUGUUGAGGCAAAUAAUCUCUUUAAUAGUACAGAAACUCAAAAAUUCUUUUGUAUGUAACUUGUGAAGUUGGGCUAGAUUGUAUAUUGGAGAGGAGUCCUCUUCACUUAUAAGUUUUUUGGAGUGGUUGGCAUCCACUUAAGGGCUGGUGAGGUUUUUUGUUUCAAAUCUAGCUCUUAGAGGUUUAGGCUUCCUUGUAUACAUCCUGUAUGCUUUGUGGCUGUUUGGCUUUUGAUAAUAUACUUCAUGUUAUUUAUCAAAAAAAAAAAAAAAAAUGUCAGGAUACACAUGCGCCUCUUAUUGACAACCAAAACUGACAGAUCAAACAAGUGACCACAAGAAAGUAAUCAUUUUGACUUAUCUGCCUCAUAAUCAGGAUAUAAAGUGCAACAAUUUAGGAAGAACAAGGUACAAUGAUGACAAAUCACCUGUACAAGCCUUGAAGCAUGGACGCAUUAGACCCUCAUCUGUCACCACCUCAUACAAUGGGUGUGACAUUUGGAAGAACUCUGGCUUCCUCGCAGAGACUAUAACCUACACAAGAACAACGUGAACACAUGAAGGCAACAAAACUGCCAGAAGUGCAAAGCACAUGUGACUCCUACAUUGUUUAGGCAUUCUUUAUAAUUUAGCCAGAAAAAAAAAAGGGAAAAGAAAAGAAGAGAAGAGAAGAGAAUCGUUUCAUUGUGUAUCAAGGAAAAUGUUUGGAUUCUUUCUUGUCACAAACAUCAGGACGAUAACAUCUUGUUCUCAGUUUUCCUGGACAAGAAAGCAUCUUAAGCCCAAGCUUAUUCUACAGGGACUUGAGUCACUUGGAUGAAGGGGCAAACGAAUGCUAAUCAAUUAAACAGUGUGGAAUACAGUAAAAAGGAUGAGUUGAGGUCUAGUCACCAUGUCAAAUAGAUCUCGCCAGCCCAUAUCAUUUGGAAGGAAUUUGUUAAAGGAAUGCUGCAUCAUUUUGUCUGUAUAAUGAUAAUCUGAGUUGGUAAUAAGCAAAAGCUUUUUGCCAGCCUGAUAGAAAAGAAUAUCCAAGUGAAUAAGGAGAUCUUACAACAAUUUCACCUGUCACAAAGACUAGAAGAGUUAUAAGCAUACCUCUUUUUGAUCCAAGAGUGCCAAAGGCAUCUCCGGAUCAGGCUCAACAAACAAUUCAGGCUUGGACAUUAUCUCAUGCUGUAUGGAUGCCAUCAAUCAGUUGAUUCUUGUGAACCACAACAUUUAACAUUAGAAAAGAAAAUUACUCAAUGGCAAUAUUUACCUUAAGUUGGCCUUCUACAUGUGCCUUGAAGAGGGCCUUUCCAACAGCCUGAAAACCAUAUCAAGAAUGAAAAUAAGGAAGAAAUUCGCAUAUACCUAAGCGACCAUUUCAAAUGAUAGCCUUGUAAAGUCUGCAGCAUAUUAAGAAUUAAAAAAGGAAAAAAUCUGCAACAUAUUGCCUUGUAAAGUCCUUUAUAAUGAAGUGGAGCAAUUUCUGCAGAUAUAGCUCCUUCAUCUAAUCUGUCCACCAUCUGAAAGUGAAAUAUAAGGCAUUAAUGAACAUAAAUUUUCCAUUGUUUACACAAGGAAAAUACAAAAACAUGAUAGACAGUUAGAACCACAAUUCAAUAUGCCUCUAAUGGAGAUGUAAAAAUAUAAAAAGUUUUAUGAUACACACAUGAUAUAUUUAUAGUUUGAAAGGAGGUAGGGAUCUAAGCAGAGAUAUAUUAGUAUCUGUCAUUCUGUAAAGUUAUAGUUUGUCAUUUUGAGAGAGAUAAACUUUCUAGAAUGAUGUUUGGAAUCUAAAGGCUUCUGGAUAAGCAUGAUCGAGACAAAUAGUUGGAAUGACAGCUAGCUAAAAACUAGAAGAAUGAGGCCAGGAUAAACCCAAAAAGUGACUCUUUCCCCAAUUUAGAUUGAUUAUCCAUGAUGAGUGGGAGAGAGAAAUGAUGUAGCCUAUAGUGUUAGUGCAGGAUAAAUGAAGUAGGGUUAACAGUCAAACUAAGAGAACUGAUAUGUGCUUUAUGGUGUAGAAUCCUAGGCAGUAAAGAAAAACAUCCAUAAGAUGCCCAACUUGAAUGAGAGUGUUGAGAUGAUUGGAUGACCCAAAAAAUAGUAAGAAACAAAUUCAAAUGCAGGAAUUCAGAGGCGCUACUGACUUGACAAGGUGAGAGAAGACAUCUAAGAUGGUUAAGCCUAUUUGGUCAUGUGUGAUGAAGACCAGUUGCUCCACUAUUAAGGAGUGAUUUAAUUCAGAUUGAAGGUGUUACAAGGAGAAAAGGUAAGGAAGAAUAUAGGUCAAGGCUAUAGAAAAGUCACAAUACUCCAUGAUUUUACAUGGUAUAUAGCUUAGAUAGAGCUAAAUGCACAUUUGACAUAUUUCCAAAUUUUGACAGUGUUUCAAGAUCUUUCCUCCUAGUUUCCUCUCAGGAACUCUUGUAGGGAGCAGUUGUUCACUUUCUUCUUCGUGUGGGAGCUUUUUCUCUUUCGCUUUGAAGGACUCCCCAUCCUCCUUGGUUGUAUUUCUUUCUUGUAAUAUUUUUUUAUGCAGCUUCUUAUCAAUAAAAAAUGACAAGAAAUAAGUAAUUUAUUUUUUUUUUUUCAAAUGCAGAACUAAGACUUGUACUUAUAUAUCUUCAAGAUGGAUUAAAGUAUGAUGUUACAUGAGUUAUAUGUUCAAAUAGUGGCUUAGAAUAAAACAAAAACCUACCUGCAUAAAAGCCACUGCUUCUGAAACAGAGAAUAGUGUAUUGAGGAAUACCCAUCGACUUUCGUUUCGCAGAUCCACCAGUUCCCUCCCAUACAUCUCACUGCCAUGCAUAGAAAGUUAACAGGCACUCUAGAAAAUAUUACCCUAGUCUUGCUACAAUUAGCAAAUCAAAUUACAAACAUCGGGAAAAUCUAGGGUACACAUUAACCAGGUGGUACAGACAAGUCUAUCAGGUCAAAGCAGGAAAUAUGUUGCACAUACAGGAAAGUAUAUCAUAUAUGCAACAUUUGGCUGCAUCGCCUUAUUAACACAUUGGGCUAAAAUAAAACCCAAAUGGAUGAUUUCUUGGCCUUUUUCUUUGUGGCCAAAGCAUUUGGAUCAUUCUUUCAUGCCUGCCUUUUUCUGAGGACAUCAUACAGCUAGCAUCCUUAUCAAAGGAGUGAUUUUCGCUUUGCAUGUCCGCUAUGUGACACACUACUGUUCUUGUCUUUGACAGAAUGGACAACUCAGAUAUAUGAAUAAUCACAAUGAUAAAGCUUAAAACAUACGUUACAGCUCGAGUACUUAGCAUUGUUGUACCAUGCAUAGCCCUUUUUACAUAGCCAAAUCUGUCAGGCUUAACCAAGUUUCCUUUCUCUUUGUCUAUUACAAGGCCUCUAAUAACCUACACAAAACAAUCAAACAGAAUGCACUCAAAAACAUGAAAGAGAAUACAAAUUCAAUAAAUUUAAGAAUGGUGUCACAAUUUAAAGUUCUCUAGUUGCACAGAUAAAGAUUUCACCAAGUUUGGGUCAAAUGCAAGUCCAUCCACAGGAAACCCCAUGUUCCUUAGGUUGUCCAUACAAUAUUCAUACGCCCGUCCUUCCCAAGCCUGCACCAGGGGCAUAAACCUAUGUCAAUAAUCUCACCAGUUCAAAUGGACAAAGGAACUCCUUUUUCAAUUAUCCAUGAAGCUAAACCAAGCAGAUAGGAGAUACAAAUGCAUGAGGGAGUGUAAUUUUAUUUGGUAGGCGCUAUCCUAUUACUAUAUGUUCUAUUUGCCAAAAAAAAAAAUGCAUGGAGGAGAAUAAUGUUAUUAAAAUUAAAAAUUACCAGCCAGUAGCCAGAAACAUGUUUUUUUUUUAUAAAAAAACUAGGCAGCCAGAAACCUGUAAGCUUCAUGAUACUGCUUUAACAAAUAGACACUUGAUGCACACAACAAGGAAAGAAGGAUAUCAGAAACAAAGGUUUAAAAUAAAUAGACAUACUGAGAAAAAUUAGAACUGAGUGGUCCGACCUAGAUUAUUUUUUGAUAGGCAAAAUUGAUAUUAUUGAAAAGUGCCUAACAAAAGGGGAUGCAUUCUUUGUACACAGGAAAGUGGUCCAACCUAGAUUUCUUGUGCUGUUUUAACAAUAAUUUGCCAUAAAACUUUAUUUGGAAAAAUCAAAACGCAGUUCCUACAGAAUGUUGUCAAUAUAAUAUAAUGGCAGAAAAGAUGCCCAAGAUAUUCAUCAACUAAGGUGUAGAUAUUUUUUCCAAUGAAACAUAAACAUGAAAAAUAUGCAGAAUAUAGACCAACAACCGAAAAAGUUAUAUAUUCACUUCAGAAAUCCUCAACAUUACAAAAUUGAUCCAGCUAGACAAUCCAAAAUUCCAAUCAAUGUUUUUAUGAAACUGCUAGUUUCUUGUCAAUUUAAAAAAAAAAAAAGUGAUAAACCGAGAGUGACCAACUUGACUUUGAGAACUUAGGUGGAACCCAAUAAAGAGGGUGAAAAGACUGCUCCAUAAUAAGAACAUGGACAACAGAUGCCUAUACUUCCUCAAGAGUUGGUUCAACUUGGCAUUUGCAUGUUUCAGAUGUUAUCCUGCUCACUCCAAGGGGUUUUAUGUUAUUUUAGUUUUAGUUUCUUUUGCUUCUUUUUUCUUUCUUCUUCUUCUUUAUAUUUUCCCAUCGUAUAGGCAGAAAACAAAAAAAUUGCAAGUUAUGUGCAUAAUCUACCCCCUUCAUAUCUACUUAUGCAACUAAUGCACAGUGGCAACAACUAGACACAAACUGAAGCCCUAGAAAAAAUGCUAAAACCUCAAAGUUAAAUCAGGGUUCGCAACUAGCACCAUGUCUGGUAUUAUAGGAAGACGUUUUUUGGCAAGAAAUUAGGCCCAGUUGGUCAGAUCUGUCUCUUGGAUAAGUAGUCAUGUAUUCAAACAGUUAUUGAUCCAUAGAUUUUUAAUUGUUCAUUGGUUCACAAAAUAGGCUUAACAGAAACUAAGGAGCUUUGCAGCCUAUCUGCACCUAGCAUAUACCAUACUUCACUCUAAAGCCACAAGCCUCCUCAUGACAUACAAUUGCAGGUUCAGAGCAAUUUUGCCAACAAUCACUGAACAUAAAUAAUGUAAUUUGUGGCAUAGCAUAUGCCUUGGACAAGUGUCUUUACAAGGUUCUAGAGUAACUCUCCUCCUGGUCUCUAAACAGAUCAUGCCCCCUGGGUGGAGUCAGGAUAUGCACCUUGGUGAGAUUUUCCCUUAUGGUAUUUGUGAUGUUUGCUAAAUAUUGUAUACUUUUUAGUUUGGGUUUGAGUUAUCUCUAAAAAUCCAAAGCCCCUCUUAACAUAAUACAAAAACAAGUUGACGUUACCAUCACAUUAUAGUGCAUCAAGGUGUAGUCCAUGUCAUAUCCAAUGGCACUGAUUGACCGAAGAUUCAAUGUACGGCUACAAAAUAUGCCACGUGGUGAAUAUCUUGAUGAAAAAGGACCCUGCAUAUCAGAAAAUGCUGUGAGAUUGAUGGAAAGCAAUUAUGCACAAUAAGAUAACUCUGCAGCCCCUGUUACCAUUGAAUGGUUGUGCUCCAAGUCCUAAACUAGGGUUGUAGCUACAGUAGCUAGUUUUUAUUCUUCACUUGUACACUUCUAGAAUACGGUGUUCACCACAUUAGUUUGGCAAUUUUUUUCUAUAUAUAGACACAUCCUUAUUUGCCUAUCAAAAAUAAACACUGCUACAUAUUUUUUUUAACUUUUUUGCUUUACCUUACCAUUUUUAACCUUUUUUCCUUUCAUGACCUUUUAAACUCUCUAUAGCUAGACUCAAAUUUAAACCUUAUCAUACUCUUGUCUGUUCUAGAAGUCCUUGAUCAAACAAGCAUUUUACAGAGAGCCAACAAGGAGUUCCAUUAAAAACUGGCUGUUAGUUCUUGAAUCUCUCUUUGGCUGAUCAAUGUGUGAUAUUUCAAAUCCUCAUUACGGAAAGGCAGUGACUUACAACCCACUGCUAUCUAGAGUAGCUAGGUGGAGAAGUAAAAUUAAUCCUUGUUCCUACAUGGGCUUCUUGAAAUUGGAAGAAUCGGAAGAGAAGGCAGUGACUUACAACCCACUGCUAUCUUCCAUACUCCUCCAAUGUGGAUAUAGAUUGUGACCUUUUGAUCCAAAUUCAAGUUGAUGAAAGCGUUUGUCAUUUUCAUUCUUCUCUUAUUCAUUUCCAAUAGUUUGCUCUUCUUAAGACACAACAUAUUUGAAUUUUAUGUUGGUGACAUGUUUUACAAAUUUGUAACAAAUAUUCUACUUAGCUUAUGCAAGUAAAUAUGAUGCAUGACACCAACAUAAAAUUCAAAUAGCUGUGCCAUUGGCUAUGGUUGACAUGGUGACGUUGGCUGUGGAGAUACAUCUGCAGAGGCGGUGUGGUGUAAGGAAAAGCAAACAUUUUGCUUCCUAAUUAAGAAAUGUCUUGCUUCAAUCCAUUUUUCUUACUUACAAUUUCUACCUUCUGUUAAAGAAUAAAGAUCUUUUUUUUUUUUUUUUUUUUCAUUUUUUGCUUCCAAAAUGUCUUUCUAUUGGUGACAAUUUGGCUAGCUGUGCCACUGGCUGGGGUUGACAUAGUAGCACUGGCUGUGGAGAAAUAUCAGCAGAGGUGAUAUGAUGUAGGGAAAAGCAAAUGUUUUGGUUCCUAAGUAAUGUCUUACUCUAAUUUUUUUUUCUUACUUACAAUUUCUAGCUUUUGUUAAAGAAAAAAGUUCUUUUUUUUUUUUUUUUCCUUUUUUGCUUCCAAAAUGUCUUUCCAAAUACCAUUAAAAAGGAAAAAAAAUGCCUUCUUCUGAUUAGUUGCUUCCAAAGACGAGAAUUAUUUCCAAGAUGCCAUCCAAAUUGUUCUUUGCACAUUCCUUUUGACAACAACAUUAAUACUUUUCUUUUUAUGCUAUGGUAGCCUUUGCAUUACUCUAGUCAUUUUUCUGAUGAGCAAGCAAAAAAGACAUAUUAUUAGCACCUAUCAAAAAGGCAUGCAAACCUACUGCAUUGCUCUACUCAUGUAAUGAAGCAUUUGUUGUCAGGCAAUGAUCCCAUUAAGAAAUCAAGAAUCUGAAAAGUAUAUGGUUAGGUUUUGAUGUUAUUUUUGUCUCAUAACUGAAAAACCUCUUCAAGAAAUUCCACAUCAUGAAUUUAUUUUAUACUUUAUUUCUAGACUCUACUUUUUCUUAAAUAGAUGGAUUCACAAGAAAAUUUGAAUCAGAAAUAUGGAUAUGCAACUAUGUCACCUGUUUUGCUUUUCUAUCCUUUUUAAUGAAUCAAAAGAUGUUGGAUUUGCUUUGUUUUGUUUGUUUGCUUAAUAGGUCCUAUGCUAGUAUGUCUACUGCAGUUUCUUCGUGUGACAUGCUUAUUUUCCUAUUUUGUUUUUCAAGAGUUAGUGUCCUAUUGCUUCUAAGGUACAUUUACACAAGACAAGCCUAAUCUUUAAUUAUGCUUUAAAACUUCCAACAAAUUUGAGGAUAUGCAAUGGAAUAGAAUGUAGAAUAUAGAGUAAUAAAGCUUCAUAUAAAAGAAAAUAGUAUCAUCUUCACACAAUAGGAUUUUUUAUUUGUAGGAUUUUCAAAUUUUCUUUUGAUUUGUAGCAAUUUAUUUGCAAAAAGUUUUAGUAUUUUUUAUGCAUGAAACUGUUAUAUUUUCCUAAUCACAUUGAGGUCCUUCAUCUAGAUUGAUUACAUUUUGAAUGAAUUUGUCUUGUUUUAUGUGAAGCAAAUCGUUUUCGCUCAAAACAAUAAA